AGCGAACGCUGGCGGCAGGCCUAACACAUGCAAGUCGAACGAACCCUUCGGGGUUAGUGGCGGACGGGUGAGUAACACGUGGGAACGUGCCUUUAGGUUCGGGAUAACUCAGGGAAACUUGUGCUAAUACCGAAUGUGCCCUUCGGGGGAAAGAUUUAUCGCCUUUAGAGCGGCCCGCGUCUGAUUAGCUAGUUGGUGAGGUAAUGGCUCACCAAGGCUACGAUCAGUAGCUGGUCUAAGAGGAUGACCAGCCACAUUGGGACUGAGACACGGCCCAAACUCCUACGGGAGGCAGCAGUGGGGAAUCUUGCGCAAUGGGCGAAAGCCUGACGCAGCCAUGCCGCGUGGAUGAUGAAGGUCUUAGGAUUGUAAAAUCCUUUCACCGGUGAAGAUAAUGACUGUAGCCGGAGAAGAAGCCCCGGCUAACUUCGUGCCAGCAGCCGCAGUAACAC
rnacentral:rRNA from 1 species